rnacentral:rRNA from 1 species
GCUAAGGUGGGGCCUGGAGGCGAGGUAAUGCGAGGGGGGGUAGGGUGGGUCGGAAUUACUGGGCGUAAAGCGCACGUAGGCGGCUUUCUAAGUCGGGGGUGAAAUCCUGGGGCUCAACUCCAGAACGGCCUUCGAUACUGGAGAGCUCGAGUCCGGGAGAGGUGAGUGGAACUGCGAGUGUAGAGGUGAAAUUCGUAGAUAUUCGCAAGAACACCAGUGGCGAAGGCGGCUCACUGGCCCGGUACUGACGCUGAGGUGCGAAAGCGUGGGGAGCAAACAGGAUUAGAUACCCGAUUAGUC